rnacentral:rRNA from 1 species
GACGAACGCUGGCGGCGUGCUUAACACAUGCAAGUCGAACGGAAAGACCCUGCUUUUGUGGGGUGCUCGAGUGGCGAACGGGUGAGUAACACGUGAGUAACCUGCCCUUGACUUUGGGAUAACUUCAGGAAACUGGGGCUAAUACCGGAUAGGAGCUCCUACUGCAUGGUGGGGGUUGGAAAGUUUCGGCGGUUGGGGAUGGACUCGCGGCUUAUCAGCUUGUUGGUGGGGUAGUGGCUUACCAAGGCUUUGACGGGUAGCCGGCCUGAGAGGGUGACCGGCCACAUUGGGACUGAGAUACGGCCCAGACUCCUACGGGAGGCAGCAGUGGGGAAUAUUGCACAAUGGGCGGAAGCCUGAUGCAGCAACGCCGCAUGCGGGAUGACGGCCUUCGGGUUGUAAACCGCUUUCGCCUGUGACGAAGCGUGAGUGACGGUAAUGGGUAAAGAAGCACCGGCUAACUACGUG